AGGCAAGAAUAUAAGCAGAAAAGGAAAACAUCAGACAUAGAAGAGGACAAAGCUGCAAAGUCUGGAGUCAAGCAGUAUGCAAGUACUACAGGCUCUCUUACAAAACCUACUUUAGGCAGCGAGUCCUUGCUAGUCCUGCAGUCCUAUGGCCGACAGCCCACUUGGUGCUAUUCAAAGUACAUAGAAGCCUUGGAACAAGAGCGAAUUCUUCUGAAAAUUCAAGAAGAAGUGGAAAGAAAGAUGUUCACAGGUACAUCGUCUUUCACAAACUUGCUUAAGCCUUCCACGGGCUCCGCUCUGUCUCUGAAGAAGAAUGUGUCUCCUCACAGCAUCCAGAGAUAGCAGCAUUCCUGUCCAGGCUCACAUCCUCCAGCUUCAAGUACCAGGAUUUCUUUAGGCUAAUUGUUAACUAACUUGAGAAGCUGAAUGCCCACGGUGUGGAUAGUCCGAUUUACUUUAGAGUACUUUAGAGUACUUUAGAGGCUAGAUGAAUUAAAGAUUUGUGCCUAUCAUA
rnacentral:lncRNA from 1 species